UACGUAGGGCGCAAGCGUUGUCCGGAAUUAUUGGGCGUAAAGAGCUCGUAGGCGGCUUGUCACGUCGGGUGUGAAAGCCCGGGGCUUAACCCCGGGUCUGCAUUCGAUACGGGCUAGCUAGAGUGUGGUAGGGGAGAUCGGAAUUCCUGGUGUAGCGGUGAAAUGCGCAGAUAUCAGGAGGAACACCGGUGGCGAAGGCGGGUCCCUGGGCCGAUACUGACGCUGAGGAGCGAAAGCGUGGGGAGCGAACAGG
rnacentral:rRNA from 1 species